UGCUGGAUCUGAGAGGUUGGAGCUCUGGAGCAAUACCCUUAUUCCGCUGUUGCCUUAGGUCUUUACACGGGGAACAGGGCGGACCUAGUUCGAAAAGUGCAUAAACCUCGGACGGUGGCGCAGACUUGAGCUCAGCAACCGCUAGAGAAGGAAAGAUGCUGGAUGAGAACCAGGCAAUGCCAGCCAAUUGGUCCGAUUUCACAGUCUGCGCACACCAGAAACUUGAUGUUGCCCACGUCCUUGGUGAAGCCCACGUUCUCAAAGAUGAACAUGUCAUCAACCAGCCAGUGCUCCUGGAGAAGCUCGCCGUCAGGAUUGCUGCCAUCAGCCAGAGCUGGUUUCUUUCUCAUGGAGGGAAGGAAAAGCUGCAGUGGAAAAGAACACAAAGAAUGCAAGAGCUGACUGGCCAGUCACGUCAUCACCCCCAUCCCACUCACACAUUACACUGCUCCCUAGCACUUUCUCGGAAUGAAAACAAAAUGAGGAGCCCGAUCAUUGAUGGAUGAGGAUGCUGGGCGGCUCCUCUGCUGCCUCUGGUCCAUGCCCUGAUUCUUACGAGACGUUAAAGAGGACUUGAGCGGUCUGUCCCACUGGAAAUCUGAUUCGUUGGAGAAACUGCGUUCCACCCACUACCUUGGUAAAGCGUGUAGGUUACGAGAGUCAUCUGUCACAUCCCCUACACUAAAGUCGGUUCUGGAGCUCUUUUUGGGGCGGCGAGGAGCCCAUCAGAAAGGACACCGGUGAGAGCGCUGUGAUGCGGGCCAGGUACACCGGGCGCCAUGGGGCCAGUCUGCAGGGUGGAGCUGGAAGGGCUGCCCGUGUCCCGAGGCGCCGGGCCCUAGGAAGCCGGCGCCUUGCCGCAGCCCUGCACCGCACGCGGAGGAGCAGCGUCCAGCGCGCCCCGCGCCCGCGGCGACCUGGUGACCGGCCGGCCCAGACCUAGGGCGAGGCUGGGGCUGGGGGCCGGGGGCCGGGGGCCGGGGGCCGGGUCCCGGCAGCGCUCCCGCCGCCCAACUCCGGCGGGGGCAGCCUCAGGCGGAGCCCGGACGCGACGAGGGGCGCGGCCUCCGGAAACGCGCGCGGGGUCUGGGACACGAGCCACCUCGGCCCCCUGGGAAAGCGUGCGGGGGUGAACCGCCUCCAACCUGCCUCCCUACCUGUCGA